rnacentral:rRNA from 1 species
GAUGAACGCUGGCGGCGUGCCUAAUACAUGCAAGUCGAGCGAACAGACGAGGAGCUUGCUCCUCUGACGUUAGCGGCGGACGGGUGAGUAACACGUGGAUAACCUACCUAUAAGACUGGGAUAACUUCGGGAAACCGGAGCUAAUACCGGAUAAUAUAUUGAACCGCAUGGUUCAAUAGUGAAAGACGGUUUUGCUGUCACUUAUAGAUGGAUCCGCGCCACAUUAGCUAGUUGGUAAGGUAACGGCUUACCAAGGCAACGAUGCGUAGCCGACCUGAGAGGGUGAUCGGCCACACUGGAACUGAGACACGGUCCAGACUCCUACGGGAGGCAGCAGUAGGGAAUCUUCCGCAAUGGGCGAAAGCCUGACGGAGCAACGCCGCGUGAGUGAUGAAGGUCUUCGGAUCGUAAAACUCUGUUAUUAGGGAAGAACAAAUGUGUAAGUAACUAUGCACGUCUUGACGGUACCGAAUCAGAAAGCCACGGCUAACUACGU